rnacentral:lncRNA from 1 species
AAAAACAGUAAACAGACACUAAAUAGAAAAGGAAAUGUAUAACGGUGCCGUUUGGAACAUACAUUGAAUACACAACUCCUAAAAAUAAUAUCCCAAAACACGGAAUCCCACGGGAAACACAGGCUAUAAGAAGUAUUACGCUGCUCCAGUCACUAAAAUUUGUCUAAUACAAAGAGGGGAAUCAAAACAACAACUACUAACUAGGAAUGGAGUGAGAAGGAGACUUUGCGGAUCUGCAGAUGUACCAGAUGUAUACCUCAAGUCCCCAAUAAUUCUCACUGACAGCUACUGGCAAUAUGCCUGCUCAGAUGUACCUGGAUCUGCACAUGAAAAACAUGCACGGAAGAGGCAUGAUUACACCAAAACGGUGCUCAGCAAGUGCCAAGCCUAACCUCGGUUGGGUAGUGACAAGGAAGGUCGAGGCCUUACUGAGAUAAACAUAAAAAUAAAUAUGAAAUGAAUAGGCAGUAAGAGUACAGUAAAUCUUGAGUAUCUAUCAACAAUAAUAAGUAGAACGGAAAUAGACUACAAAUACAAUCUACGAAAUGCAAAAACAAUCAUUAGAGGCUAUUUAUUAUCGGGGAUCUCCUGGUAUCCGGAGGAUCUCCUUGUAUCCUCAUCAUAUAAACAAGGGAUCUCAAAGUAUCCCGAGGAUCUCCUGGUAUCCUCCAUUCAAUCACGAGGGAUCUCCAAGUAACCGGAGGAUCUCCUAGUAUCCUCCAGUACAUCAUGAGGGAUCUCCAAGUAUCCCGAGGAUCUCCUAGUAUCCUCCAAUUAAUCAAUCCUGUGCCGGGGAUCUCUUAGUAUCCCGCACUUCCAAAUCUUAGAACAAAAUACGAAUAGGGAAACCCCCGGGAUGCCGUCCCAUAGACCCAAUCGUAAACAUAUCAAAUAAAUCAAUAUUCUUAGUAUCUCGCGCUUCCAAAUCUUGGAACAAAAUACGAAUUGGGGAAGCUCCCGGGGUGCCGUCUCGUAGACCCAAUCGCAAACACAUCACAACAAAUCAAUAUUUAACAAAAAGAAGCUAAGUGCGGACAACAAGUAAAAUCUAGAGUCUAGCAUGCUUCACAAAAAGGCAGAUAUUGCAAUUUAGUCAAGUAGAGCAAAUAAGUUACGAGCAUGAUUUUCCCUAAACAGAAACAAGUGAAUUGCAUUAUUAACAGUUAGAUACGUGAAAAACACAGUCUAAAUAAGUGAAGUAAGGUGAAUUUUCAACAAUUAGCACAAGUACACGGCCGUCACCUCGCGCAAAAGGCAUUUAAACAACAAUAAAGAUAUCCUAAGGGGAGAAGUCCCCCUCAUAAAGUUAGACAAGUCACUUACCUCGAACCGGUAAAAAAAUUGCUAAGAAACAAUGCCCUUACCAUGAGGAUCCAACUCCGAGUGGCCCAAAUCUAUUCAAACCAAUUACAUAUUAUAAAUAACAUCGCAAGUAACUAAUUCCGCUAUUAAAAUUAAAGUUAAGGCACGAAAAUAGAUAAAUGGCCAAAAUAGCCCUCAGGGCAACGUCUCAAAAUCGAAUAAUUUUCACAUUUUUAGAAACCUCGUACUCUCCCGAUUCUAACCAUAUAAAAAUUUGCCAAAUCGAAGGUCAAAUGCCCCUUCAAAACUCAAUAGCUUAGUCAAAGAAGUUUUACCCAAAUUAUCCAAUUUUUUUAAUCCUAAAUCUGAAUUUAAAUGAUGGAUUUAACCACAAAAUGAUGGAAUAUAACCUAAAAGGAUCAAAGAAACAUUACUCAAUAAUUUCCUCUUCGAAACCCUCUCAAAAUCGCCUAUACCCGAGCUCAAACUUGAUUUUUCAAGCUUUGAAAUUAAGCCUAGGAUAAAACCCUUAACAUUACAGUGAUUUUCACUUUUGCGGAUCCAAAAAUGUUACCCAAUAAUUUCCUCUUCGAAACCCUCUCAAAAUCGCCUUUUCCCGAGCUCGAACUUGAUUUUUCAAACUUUGAAAUUAAGUCUCGGAUAAAGCCCUUAACAUUACAGUGAUUUGCUCUUUUGCGGAUCCAGAAGCGGUCUCGCUUUUUCCGAAAAGCCAACUGCUUUUGCGGUUUUCCUUAAGUGCCGACCUACCGCUUCUACGGUCCAUAACUCGUAGAAGCGAGUCCGCUUCUGCGGAAAAUUAUACUGCUUCUGCGGUUCCUAGCCUUGAGCCCAAACCCGCAUUUGCGGCACCCUAUGUCAUUUCUGUGGCUCUGCUUCUGCGGUCCCCAAGCCGCAAAAGCAAAAAUACCAGAAUCCUGAAGCCUUUAGUUGUUACACACUUAGAAUUUCUUUCGUUAACCACCCAAAACCAUUCUGAGGCCCCGGGACUUCAACCAAAAGAACCAAUACCACCUAAUACCUUAUUCAAACUUGCACCAAUCUUUAAGACAACUAAAACAACACCGAAACCUCGAUCAAAUCAAAGAUUCAAGCCUAAGCACUUCAAGUUCAUCCAAAACUGCUUUCUAUUCAAAACCUAAUCAACACUCGCCCGAUUGAACUCAAACUUUGCACGCCCAUCCGAAAUUACAUGACGGUGCUUCAGAAACUUCUAGAAUCCUGUUCUGACCCUCAGAUUAAAAACUCACUGUCGGACCAGAAACUUAAAAACUUUAACUUUCGGCAUUUCUAGCCUAAAUGAGCUACAGACAUCCAAUAUACAUUCCGAACACGCUCCCAACUCCGAAAUCACCUAACUUAGCUAACGUAACCAUGCGAGUUCCAUUCCGAGGCCGUCUUCACAGUGUUCUGAUUACGAACCAUUUUCCAACAUUUAAGCUCUUAUUUAGGGACUAAGUGUCUCGAAACACUCCAAAUUCUAUUACCGAACGUCCCGACAAACCAAAAUCGCAGAAAUAUACUUAGGGUAAGCAUUUAAUGGUGGAACGGGGCAUAAAUUCCUAAGACGACCGGCCGGGUCGUCACAACACUCUUUUCUCUUGAUCUUGUGAGAGUCAACGCUCAGUCGCUGAUCGAUCCAUUCAGGACGAGGAAUGGAUGGAGAUAUUACAUCUAAACACCAAGAUUUUAUCUGCAAAGUUGCAAUACUUUUUCAUUCUCGUAAAUCUUUCUAGUCAUGCACUACAAAAGUUCUUUUUUCCCUCUAUAGCUUUCUUUUUUCAGACAUGGAGCAAAGGGAGGAAAUGUGGGAGAUAACAAACGUAACUUAAAACAAAACUUCCAUAAGGCUACAUAUAACAUAAGAUGCCACAUGUUUUUUCACCUAAUAUAUAAAUCUAACCUCUUUAAUAGAGUACAAGGACCAAAAAAUUCUGAUGAAGAAUAUAACAUCCAAAUAUAAAUUUUAGCUUACUAGGAGACCCUUAGUAUAUUAGAGAUAUAACUACUAGAGUAUAUGAGAGAACUCCAAGUAUUAGCUAAUCCUUAAGUACAAACUUUUGCAAUAUUAUGUACCCAAACAAAGCAUUUUUGAUAUUGAGGAUUUACAUAGCCGACCCCAACUAGCUUGGGAUUGAGGCAUAGUUGUCGUUAUUGUUAAUAGCAAUGUCAACGUAGCUUCACCUGUUGUUUUAUAAUCUUAAUUUUUCCUUGGCUAAAAUUAAGAUCUUUCAAACCCAAAUCUUCAUCUAUCUAAAGACAUUUUUGUCCAUCUCCACCUUACUCUAAAUAUGUUAUCCUUUCUGCUACUACCACUGAUUUUCAGCUUAUAGAGGAAAGACUUCUACAUUAGCCUUAUAUCCUUUUAUUAUUUUCAAUAUUUCCAUGAAUAAGCAAAAGAAUUAAGGAACAUAAUGAGAAAUUUUAAGUAAAGAGCAAGGACAUGGACUUGCAGCUCUUGAAAGGUUGAUUUCAUUACAUUCAUCCACUAAUCAAGAACAUAAAUAGUUAAAAUGCACUACAACCUCUUAUGCAUCACGCUCUAUCUAGGUCCAUUCAAUUCCAAGCAACUUCAAAUCUCAGCUAGAAUGAAGCAACAACAGAGUUCUGAACCUAAAUAAAGAGAGCAAGGUAAACCUUGUGUGUUAAGUUAGUGUUGCUUAACUCAAACACUCUUUUGCAAGUUGGUCCAAUAGCUUGCCUUUAUCAAAUGUGACUUCCUCUCUUUCCUCAAAAUUUAUUGUGUGAAUCAUUAUAUAUUUUGUUUACUCUCGAACUUUCUUCAUAUAUGAUGUGCCUAUAUUUACGUAACAACCAAGAAAUAAGAAAAAGAAUAUAAUAAAUACACAAAAUUGGAAGGUUUAAAACAUACCACCUGUAGCAGAAUCAACAUCCACAGCUUGUCUCUAACACGGUCAUCCUUGCCAACUUCUUCCUGUGCAGAAAUUGCCGGAAUGAUAUGUGAAAAUGUAGAAACACUAUGUAGAAUUGCAAAUAUUGCCAAAACACUAUGCAGAAAUGCAGAAAAAUUGUGUAGAAAUGAAAAAAAUAGCAAAAUGUUGAAAAAAUGCAAAAAAUACAGGAAAACCUGUACAGAAAUGCAAAAUAUAUAGUUUAGAAAUGCAAAAAUUUCUAAAAUGUAGAGAGAAAAUCAAGAAAUAAUAUGCAGAAAAUAUACUGUUCAAAAAAGCAGAAAUAAUGUGUAGAAAUGCCGAAAUACUAUGCAGAAAAUGUAAAAACACUAUGCAUAUUCACAAAAACAAUGAGCAGAAUCGCAGAAAUUGCCGGAACACUUCGCAAAAAUACAGAGAAUGCAGAAAAAUUGUGCAAAAAUGCAAUAACGCUGUGCAAAAUACAAAAACUACAAUUUAUGAGUUGACAUAUAGCAUAACAAUUAAAAGCAUAUAACGCAACUAGUUUUCAAGGAAGAAUAUCCCGAACUAACCUUCGCAAAGGAUAUAAAAUUGUAGGCCAGUUUGCAUGUUAUGAAAUCUUAGGUCACUUUGCACGUCAUAAAAUGUUAUGCCACUUCUCCGAACUAAGAUUAUUAUGCUAACACUUCUUUUUUUAAUUUCCUAAUUAACAACAACAACUACCCAGCAUAAUCCAACAAUGGGGGCUUAAUUUCAUAAUUGUAAAAAUAAUUUAAUCUUCAUAACAAAAGUUAAACCAGGAGCUGAAUUUAUUAGACUACCGGCGACCAACAGAACGUUAUGUGCUUCUUUGGAUCAUUAAAAACCUAAAAUAUGGCAGAGACUUGACUAAAUUAUGAUGAAUCAGAUUUUGCAACCCUACAACGCUGACCAAUGAUUGCUAAAAAGGCUAAACUGCCAGGCUAGAACUGUUAACUUACCUAUAAUAGCCAAGACACGAUUUAUAAAUAAAUGCUAGUGUAAGUACAUACCUGAAUCCGCUAUAAAAGAUAUUUUUUUUCCAAUAAAGAUGAUCUUAUCAAAAUGAGAUUUGAGCAUAUCCUCUUCCAUUGGCCCCUGCAAAUGCUAAAACAGCUGUCUAGCACUUCUCUGCAUGUGUUGAUUCAAACUGAUUUAGGAAAAGCUUUGAGCUCAAGGGAACAACAGAAAACCCCAUCCUAUGAUGCCAUUGAUGUGAAUUAAAAAAAUACCCAUGGAAUAAUCGGUUGAUUUAACACUUGAAAACCCUAAUACAAAGAACAAUCAAAGACACAAAGCCUAAUGAAGAGGACUUUUGGAAAAUCAAUCGAAGAUCACUAUCAACAAACAAUUCCAACAAACAAAUAGUACAAUUUUCAUAUUUUGGCAGUUUUGUUGAGUAUCAAUAACUCCAUUUAAUUUUCAAUAGAAACUAAUCAAAUAAGUUCUUAAUUAGGCUUAGACUUGAAGUCCAAUUCAAGAAAUAACGACACAUCAACAAAAUAUCCAGAAGAAUCAAAGGGGUUUAAGCAGUAGAUAAAUAUGUAAAGAAGUAAAAUAAUUUUAAUUAAGAAAUCAUACCUUUUGAAUGCUGAAAUUUCUCUUUCUUAGAUGUAGGUAUUGGAUCAAUGGAGAAGAAAAUUCCAGUCGGUGCUGGAUUUGGUAGCAGUGGAACCAGUGGCGUGGUGAUGGCCCAGAUGGAGAUUUAUGGGCCAAUACUAAAUAGAGGGGUAGAAUGAAAAUUUGAGAAAGUAUUAAUUUCUUUUGCCUUUGAAAGUAGGGAAAACUUUCACUCAAUCAAAUAAUGGAGGGAAUUUUUGGAUGAAUUUUUUAUUUUUAUUUUAGAGCACACUUGUUAA